UAUCAUAUAAUUUUGUUAAAAAUAUAUACGAAUCAGAAGACAAAUGCAUAAAUUAGAAAACAUAUUCAUAGUUACUUCGUUGUAUACUUCAUCACUAUUAUGGAGAAUCAAUCAGUUGCUAUACAUUAUGGGAAGGUACAUAUAUUUAUCACUGGUUUUCCAUGUACCAAAACACAGAACGACAUACAUGAGUACAUUAAAACACUACUACUCUCCAAACACGGAGCGAUUAGGGCAUGUAGAUCAGAUUGUUUUCCCCACAUAUCCGAAUAUGGAACGGUUAUGUAUGGGUAAACACUUAUCACUUCGUCAAUACACU
rnacentral:lncRNA from 1 species